GCGCUUAACACAUGCAAGUCGAACGAGAAAGCGGGGGCAACCUCGCAAGUAAAGUGGCGUACGGGUGAGUAACACGUGGGUGAUCUACCCUUUAGUGGGGAAUAACGCUGGGAAACCGGCGCUAAUACCGCAUAAUCUCGAGAGAGGAAAGUCGCAAGACGCUGAAGGAGGAGCCCGCGGCCGAUUAGCUAGUUGGGAGGGUAAAAGCCUACCAAGGCGAAGAUCGGUAGCCGGCCUGAGAGGGCACACGGCCACACUGGCACUGAAACACGGGCCAG
rnacentral:rRNA from 1 species